ACUUAAAUUGAAGAGUUUGAUCAUGGCUCAGAUUGAACGCUGGCGGCAGGCCUAACACAUGCAAGUCGAGCGGUAGCACAGAGAGCUUGCUCUCGGGUGACGAGCGGCGGACGGGUGAGUAAUGUCUGGGAAACUGCCUGAUGGAGGGGGAUAACUACUGGAAACGGUAGCUAAUACCGCAUAAUGUCGCAAGACCAAAGUGGGGGACCUUCGGGCCUCAUGCCAUCAGAUGUGCCCAGAUGGGAUUAGCUAGUAGGUGGGGUAACGGCUCACCUAGGCGACGAUCCCUAGCUGGUCUGAGAGGAUGACCAGCCACACUGGAACUGAGACACGGUCCAGACUCCUACGGGAGGCAGCAGUGGGGAAUAUUGCACAAUGGGCGCAAGCCUGAUGCAGCCAUGCCGCGUGUGUGAAGAAGGCCUUCGGGUUGUAAAGCACUUUCAGCGGGGAGGAAGGCGAUAAGGUUAAUAACCUCAUCGAUUGACGUUACCCGCAGAAGAAGCACCGGCUAACUCCGUGCCAGCAGCCGCGGUAAUACGGAGGGUGCAAGCGUUAAUCGGAAUUACUGGGCGUAAAGCGCACGCAGGCGGUCUGUCAAGUCGGAUGUGAAAUCCCCGGGCUCAACCUGGGAACUGCAUUCGAAACUGGCAGGCUAGAGUCUUGUAGAGGGGGGUAGAAUUCCAGGUGUAGCGGUGAAAUGCGUAGAGAUCUGGAGGAAUACCGGUGGCGAAGGCGGCCCCCUGGACAAAGACUGACGCUCAGGUGCGAAAGCGUGGGGAGCAAACAGGAUUAGAUACCCUGGUAGUCCACGCCGUAAACGAUGUCGAUUUGGAGGUUGUGCCCUUGAGGCGUGGCUUCCGGAGCUAACGCGUUAAAUCGACCGCCUGGGGAGUACGGCCGCAAGGUUAAAACUCAAAUGAAUUGACGGGGGCCCGCACAAGCGGUGGAGCAUGUGGUUUAAUUCGAUGCAACGCGAAGAACCUUACCUGGUCUUGACAUCCACAGAACUUAGCAGAGAUGCUUUGGUGCCUUCGGGAACUGUGAGACAGGUGCUGCAUGGCUGUCGUCAGCUCGUGUUGUGAAAUGUUGGGUUAAGUCCCGCAACGAGCGCAACCCUUAUCCUUUGUUGCCAGCGGUUAGGCCGGGAACUCAAAGGAGACUGCCAGUGAUAAACUGGAGGAAGGUGGGGAUGACGUCAAGUCAUCAUGGCCCUUACGACCAGGGCUACACACGUGCUACAAUGGCAUAUACAAAGAGAAGCGACCUCGCGAGAGCAAGCGGACCUCAUAAAGUAUGUCGUAGUCCGGAUUGGAGUCUGCAACUCGACUCCAUGAAGUCGGAAUCGCUAGUAAUCGUAGAUCAGAAUGCUACGGUGAAUACGUUCCCGGGCCUUGUACACACCGCCCGUCACACCAUGGGAGUGGGUUGCAAAAGAAGUAGGUAGCUUAACCUUCGGGAGGGCGCUUACCACUUUGUGAUUCAUGACUGGGGUGAAGUCGUAACAAGGUAACCGUAGGGGAACCUGCGGUUGGAUCACCUCCUUACCUUAAAGAA
rnacentral:rRNA from 1 species